rnacentral:rRNA from 1 species
UACGGGGGGGGCAAGCGUUGUUCGGAAUUACUGGGCGUAAAGGGCUCGUAGGCGGCCAACUAAGUCGGAUGUGAAAUCCCCAGGCUUAACCUGGGAACUGCAUCCGAUACUGGAUGGCUUGAGUUUGGGAGAGGGAUGCGGAAUUCCAGGUGUAGCGGUGAAAUGCGUAGAUAUCUGGAGGAACACCGGUGGCGAAGGCGGCAUCCUGGACCAACACUGACACUGAGGAGCGAAAGCCAGGGGAGCAAACGGG